rnacentral:rRNA from 1 species
GACGAACGCUGGCGGCGUGCUUAACACAUGCAAGUCGAACGAUGAUGCCCAGCUUGCUGGGCGGAUUAGUGGCGAACGGGUGAGUAACACGUGAGUAACCUGCCCCUGACUUUGGGAUAAGCGUUGGAAACGACGUCUAAUACUGGAUAUGAUCGCCGACCGCAUGGUCUGGUGGUGGAAAGAUUUUUUGGUUGGGGAUGGACUCGCGGCCUAUCAGCUUGUUGGUGAGGUAAUGGCUCACCAAGGCGACGACGGGUAGCCGGCCUGAGAGGGUGACCGGCCACACUGGGACUGAGACACGGCCCAGACUCCUACGGGAGGCAGCAGUGGGGAAUAUUGCACAAUGGGCGAAAGCCUGAUGCAGCAACGCCGCGUGAGGGAUGACGGCCUUCGGGUUGUAAACCUCUUUUAGUAGGGAAGAAGCGAAAGUGACGGUACCUGCAGAAAAAGCACCGGCUAACUACGUG